UCAUGACUUAAGUUUGAAGUGUGUUGUUAUGCUGACAGGUCGUAGGACUUGCGCUUUCUCUGCAAAAAGUUAUUGCAGUAUGCGAGCAGCAGUGGUUACUGAAACGAGAGCCCCAUUUUCGGGAAGGUUGGUUGCGUUUACUGCAGAAGUCGACUUUUUCGAGAAAGUGUUGGCUCGAUAAAAUUAUGGAGAUGUGUGAUGCAGUGAUCAUGUAAAACGGACAGAUGAUGAAACAUUAGACGAUGAAACGAGCUUCAGAGACAGAAAGUUCUCUCAUGACGUAACUUCUCUUGGUGUCAUUUCAAGUGUGUUAAAGCUUACAUCAUAUGAGAACCAUCAGACUUUGGAACAGACAAGACUUUGCUGCAUUUGACUUCCCAAUGGUCUGCCCAGAAGGAGGAAUGAUUGUCAUCAUUUCUGUAACGACCCAAUUCAGUGAUCCGCACACAAGCACGAAUGCCUUGCCAGUCAGCUUGUAGAAGCCUAUCUAGCCAACUUCAGCAACUACUGAGUCAUCACCAGACAAAUCAAGACAACACUUAUGCUGCAGGCAUUUUGUGGAAUAUACAGCAUCGAUGGGAUUCAUGAGUUGCAGCAAUGCAUGAAGUCAAAGAAAUUGCAUUUCAGGUACAUUGUACUGACUAUUAGUCAUAGAAGUUAGGAUUGUGUUAUACCAUGUAACCAGUUAUUUCUGUAAUCAUGAUAUUUCUUUGA